UAGGGAAUCUUCCGCAAUGGGCGAAAGCCUGACGGAGCAACGCCGCGUGAGUGAUGAAGGUCUUCGGAUCGUAAAACUCUGUUAUUAGGGAAGAACAUAUGUGUAAGUAACUGUGCACAUCUUGACGGUACCUAAUCAGAAAGCCACGGCUAACUACGUGCCAGCAGCCGCGGUAAUACGUAGGUGGCAAGCGUUAUCCGGAAUUAUUGGGCGUAAAGCGCGCGUAGGCGGUCUUUUAAGUCUGAUGUGAAAGCCCACGGCUCAACCGUGGAGGGUCAUUGGAAACUGGAAAACUUGAGUGCAGAAGAGGAAAGUGGAAUUCCAUGUGUAGCGGUGAAAUGCGCAGAGAUAUGGAGGAACACCAGUGGCGAAGGCGACUUUCUGGUCUGUAACUGACGCUGAUGUGCGAAAGCGUGGGGAUCAAACA
rnacentral:rRNA from 1 species